rnacentral:rRNA from 1 species
CAGCAGCCGCGGUAAUGCGUAGGUGGCAAGCGUUGUCCGGAAUUAUUGGGCGUAAAGGGCUCGCAGGCGGUUUCUUAAGUCUGAUGUGAAAGCCCCCGGCUCAACCGGGGAGGGUCAUUGGAAACUGGGAAACUUGAGUGCAGAAGAGGAGAGUGGAAUUCCACGUGUAGCGGUGAAAUGCGUAGAGAUGUGGAGGAACACCAGUGGCGAAGGCGACUCUCUGGUCUGUAACUGACGCUGAGGAGCGAAAGCGUGGGGAGCAAACAGGAUUAGAUACCCGCGUAGUCCCUGUCUCUUAUAC